UACGUAGGGGGCAAGCGUUGUCCGGAUUUAUUGGGCGUAAAGAGCUCGUAGGCGGCUUGUCGCGUCGACUGUGAAAUCCCGCGGCUCAACUGCGGGUCUGCAGUCGAUACGGGCAGGCUAGAGUUCGGUAGGGGAGACUGGAAUUCCUGGUGUAGCGGUGAAAUGCGCAGAUAUCAGGAGGAACACCGAUGGCGAAGGCAGGUCUCUGGGCCGAUACUACGUGAGGAGCGAAAGCAUGGGGAGCGAACAGG
rnacentral:rRNA from 1 species